rnacentral:tRNA from 1 species
AAAGGUAUAGGUCAAUGGUUGAGUGCAUGCUUAGCAUGCACGAGGUCCUGGGUUCAAUCCCCAGUACCUCCA